GUCGUGACUGCGUGCCUUUUGAAGAAUGAGCCUGCGAGUUUGCGGUGUGUUGCGAGGUUAACCCGUGUGGGGAAGCCGUAGCGAAAGCGAGUCCGAAUAGGGCGACAUAGUAGCGCGCUCAAGACCCGAAGCGGAGUGAUCUAGCCAUGGGCAGGUUGAAGCGGCUGUAAGAGGUCGUGGAGGACCGAACCCACCAGGGUUGAAAACCUGGGGGAUGACCUGUGGUUAGGGGUGAAAGGCCAAUCAAACUCCGUGAUAGCUGGUUCUCCCCGAAAUGCAUUUAGGUGCAGCGUCGUGUGUUUCUUGCCGGAGGUAGAGCACUGGAUAGGCGAUGGGCCCUACCGGGUUACUGACCUUAGCCAAACUCCGAAUGCCGGUAAGUGAGAGCGCGGCAGUGAGACUGUGGGGGAUAAGCUCCAUGGUCGAGAGGGAAACAGCCCAGAGCAUCGACUAAGGCCCCUAAGCGUACGCUAAGUGGGAAAGGAUGUGGAGUCGCACAGACAACCAGGAGGUUGGCUUAGAAGCAGCCACCCUUGAAAGAGUGCGUAAUAGCUCACUGGUCUAGUGAUUCCGCGCCGACAAUGUAGCGGGGCUCAAGCGUACCGCCGAAGUCGUGUCAUUCGUACAUAUAUCCCCAACGGGAGUACGGAUGGGUAGGGGAGCGUCGUGUGCCGGGUGAAGCCGCGCCGGAAGGCAGUGGUGGACGGUUCACGAGUGAGAAUGCAGGCAUGAGUAGCGAUACACACGUGAGAAACGUGUGCGCCGAUUGACUAAGGGUUCCUGGGUCAAGCUGAUCUGCCCAGGGUAAGUCGGGACCUAAGGCGAGGCCGACAGGCGUAGUCGAUGGAUAACCGGUUGAUAUUCCGGUACCCGCUGUGAAGCGUCAAACAUCGAACCAGGCGAUGCUAAGUCCGUGAAGCCGUUCCGGACCCUUCGGGGAAUGGAAAGUGGUGGAGCCGACGGACCAGACCUGUAGUAGGUGAGUGAUGGGGUGACGCAGGAAGGUAGUCCAGCCCGGGCGGUGGUAGUCCCGGGGUAAGGGUGUAGCCCGUGUGAUAGGUAAAUCCGUCGCACAUCAAGGGUGAGACCUGAUGCCGAGCCGAUUGUGGUGAAGUGGAUGAUCCUAUGCUGUCGAGAAAAGCCUCUAGCGAGUUUCAUGGCGGCCCGUACCCUAAACCGACUCAGGUGGUCAGGUAGAGAAUACCGAGGCGUUCGGGUGAACUAUGGUUAAGGAACUCGGCAAAAUGCCCCCGUAACUUCGGGAGAAGGGGGGCCAUCACUGGUGAUCCGAUUUACUCGGUGAGCUGGGGGUGGCCGCAGAGACCAGCGAGAAGCGACUGUUUACUAAAAACACAGGUCCGUGCGAAGCCGUAAGGCGAUGUAUACGGACUGACGCCUGCCCGGUGCUGGAACGUUAAGGGGACCGGUUAGUCAAACUUCGGUUUGGCGAAGCUGAGAACUUAAGCGCCAGUAAACGGCGGUGGUAACUAUAACCAUCCUAAGGUAGCGAAAUUCCUUGUCGGGUAAGUUCCGACCUGCACGAAUGGCGUAACGACUUCUCGACUGUCUCAACCAUAGGCCCGGUGAAAUUGCACUACGAGUAAAGAUGCUCGUUUCGCGCAGCAGGACGGAAAGACCCCGGGACCUUUACUAUAGUUUGAUAUUGGUGUUCGGUUCGGCUUGUGUAGGAUAGCUGGGAGACUGUGAAGCAUUGGCGCCAGCCAGUGUGGAGUCGUCGUUGAAAUACCAGUCUGGUCGUGCUGGAUGUCUAACCUGGGUCCGUGAUCCGGAUCAGGGACAGUGUCUGAUGGGUAGUUUAACUGGGGCGGUUGCCUCCUAAAGAGUAACGGAGGCGCCCAAAGGUUCCCUCAGCCUGGUUGGCAAUCAGGUGUUGAGUGUAAGUGCACAAGGGAGCUUGACUGUGAGACCGACGGGUCGAGCAGGGACGAAAGUCGGGACUAGUGAUCCGGCGGUGGCUUGUGGAAGCGCCGUCGCUCAACGGAUAAAAGGUACCCCGGGGAUAACAGGCUGAUCUUCCCCAAGAGUCCAUAUCGACGGGAUGGUUUGGCACCUCGAUGUCGGCUCGUCGCAUCCUGGGGCUGGAGUCGGUCCCAAGGGUUGGGCUGUUCGCCCAUUAAAGCGGUACGCGAGCUGGGUUUAGAACGUCGUGAGACAGUUCGGUCCCUAUCCGCUGUGCGCGUAGGAGUCUUGAGAAGGGCUGUCCCUAGUACGAGAGGACCGGGACGGACGAACCUCUGGUGUGCCAGUUGUCCUGCCAAGGGCAUGGCUGGUUGGCUACGUUCGGGAGGGAUAACCGCUGAAAGCAUCUAAGCGGGAAGCCUGCUUCGAGAUGAGGACUCCCACCAACUUGAUUGGUUAAGGCUCCCAGUAGACGACUGGGUUGAUAGGCCGGAUGUGGAAGCCCUGUAAGGGGUGGAGCUGACCGGUACUAAUAGGCCGAGGGCUUGUCCUCAGUUG
rnacentral:rRNA from 2 species